AGGUGGGAGGAAAACCUACCACAGCUUCUCUUAAUGGCAUAUUCAGGCUUUACUUCAGAAAAGGGAAGCAUCUAAAAAAGAUUGGAAGAAUUUCUCACCACUCUGCAGGCAGCUGUCUCCUCCCAGCACCCAGGACCUGAACUCAGAAACUACCAGCAACACAGACGUCCACACAGGAGGACCGGACCUCGAUGAUGAGCUCACCCUCGCUCUUAACAAGCACUGGCUCUCUACAGAUGUCACUUCCUUUAAGGAUGAGAGACUUUAGAAGACUCUAAAAAUAAUCUACAGGAGGACCCAAGAGAUCCAACACGCUGGACUCCUCUAUAGGAUAUCAAAAGGAACUCCGGGUGAGGACGACAAGAGCUGAGCUCGGGUGCUUGCCUUCUGCACUCUCGGGAGGAGGCA
rnacentral:lncRNA from 1 species